CACUAGGAUAAGACAAAAUUCAGUUACGUGAUGGAUUUAGCUGAGCUAUAAAUUCUAGUCCCACUCAUUCUGAAAUCAGUCAUGAUUGUGAUUUUGCUGAAUUGUUAUGAUUAAUGAAUGUCUGUAGUGUAGCAGAUUUAAGUCUACAGGACCUUGGCUUUUUUGUCCUUGUGUCUUAGACAGACCCAUUAAAAACAGCGUACAGAUUUUUGCAGCAUUUGAGGGCCAUAAGCUGGGGAACAAACCUAGCCUUGAAUUUGCAUAUUUGUUUAGUUCUGUCCCCUCAUUUGUUAGGAGGUGGGAGAUUACCAGACUGUAGAAGUUCAAGUUUAUCCUUUUUAUAUGAACUUAAGUCUCCUAUGUAACAGAUGCCACCCUUGGCCAGCACAGCGCUGCAGGCUUGAAUGCUGGCACUUCCAGUUCCAUGCGUAUCUUUGGACACAGAAGGAAAAAUGUCGCUGGAAGACUCAGCAAUAUUGCAAGUUUAAGAGUAUUGUAAGUGCCCGGUGGAACAACUUGAGAAGCAAAGAUGUUGGCCAGGACAGCAGAAAACCUCCAGCAUGAACUUGAAGUCAGUGAGAGCAGAUACUUAAAAUUGUCACUGACAAAAGAAGGACCUAAUGGAAACAAAGUACAGGUGAACAAACACAUCAAAGAGACCUAUGCAGAUGAGCCUCCCUUACAUAUUCGCUAAAAGAAUCCAUCCAAUUUAUUGUGUUUGGCCACGAGAUGGCAGAGCUUCCCACUUCCUACAUUCCCAAGAUGAAGAGCUUGGCCAGGCUUUCUUGAGGAGUGAGCCACUGCGGCUUCUGCCUGGCGUGGGAAUGACAUGGGAUACGAGUAGUCACUAUUAGAGAAGAAGCAAAAACCAGCCUUACAAGUACUUAGGGCCUCUCUGCAAUGGGGCAAGCAGUUCAGGAAUACUGCUCAAAGCAGCAGUUCCACAGAAGUCAACUGCUCAUCAAAGCACCACUUGUUCUAUGCAAGAAGCUUUUGCCAGCCACUUAAACACAUUGUCCUGCGGUAUUUUUUAAUAGACAAACAGUUUCCGAGAAAAAGGAUCCAUCUUCCAAGAUUUCUGCACACUUUAUCCAGCUGUGGGAAUAAACCAUGAAGAAAUGACAGUAGCACUGGCCAUGCUAUAACAGUAAUAAUAAAGGUACAUACUAACAAAGCCACACAAAAUUGAAAUAGUCUCUUUUUCAAGCUAGGUGAUUCUUAAAGGAUUUUUAAAAUUCAGUUCAAAGCUCUUUCCAAUGACUGACACAUACUCUAUUUCUAGAGUAAAUUUCUGAGGAAUGCUCUGGUGUUUUCUUUUCCUUGGUGAAUUAUUUCACUCUCCUAAUUCCCUAACCCAUGAAAUUAAAGUCUCUGUUUAAUUUAACCUCCCUUGUAGAUUUUGUAAUCAGUCUAUCAAAAGUAAGACUUAAAAUUUCAUCUCCCAUAUUUUAGAAGUCUGAUAGCUUUUGAAAGUGUGAAACUGGGCAACAUCCCUUUUCUUAAAAUCUGACUUUCCUACCCUGCUGUGAUCUCCUGUAGCACCCACUUAAGGAGCUGAUCUUGCACUUAUUUCCAUGCAGGUACACAGUCGUUCAGUGCUGAUUCCCACUAGCAAAGCUUUAACAACUCUAGAUUUGGUUUGGAGGCUGACCUUGCUCUUUAGUGUGGUUUUCAAUGUGUAUUACCCACAUCCCUUUCAAUUUUUUUUUUUUUUAAGAGUAGAGUCUUGUACCAUGAAGCACUACUUUGCAGAAUUUAGAAGGAGAAUUAUUAAGGCAAAAUAUGGUAUUUUGUAUAUAUGCAUCUGUUUCAAUAGCUUUCAUAUUUUCUUCUGCAAAAUGUCCUUAGUUCUCUCUGUAGAAUGAAUAUGAAAUAUUCAUUUCAAUGUGAAACAACACUCGAAUCUUCAAAAAUAAGACUUAGCUACCUGGUAAAGGAUAGGACAUGGAAUUACUGAGCUGAUGAGGGAUCAAAGCUCACAGCAUAUGAGAGAUUCCCUGCAGGAGUUCACAGAAAUGACUUUGGGAGGACAAACAGAUCAACAUCCAAGAGGAGUAGCUGGAUUCCAGCACAACUUGUGUGUGGCAGCAGCGUAAACCCUGUGGCCCGAGACCUGUACACUGUGGGCUGAAACGUGUUUAAUGCCUGAAGUAACAAAGGCACAAGUUAAAAGACAAUUUGUAAGAGGGAUUUCCACCCCCCGCCUCACCCCCACCCUGUGUCUUUGGGAUUACUCCUGCAUGAUUAUUACUCCAUCCCUUGAAGUAUUCAGCAAGAAGGGCUUAAAGAAAUGUACACACAUGGAUCCACUGUACCUCCCUGGAUCCUGUAUUACCAGGGCUGGACGCGCAGGGCACCACAUAUGAUAGGGAGGACUGAGCUACGGCCCCACUGAUUGUGCACUGAGCAGCCGGCACCUAAGCUGCGCAAAAUAAAGCCUGACCAAGGUGAUGGUGUUCACCAGUGUCCCCACAGCCAGCUAACCCCACUCCAGGUGUGGCUCGGCACAUCAGCAUCUCCUGCCUGGCUUCAGCUUCCAUGCCAUCGGCACCCCUGCCUCACAGACCUCCCCACCAGUUGUUCACCAGGCUUUCUGCGCCCCGUCCUCCCCCGGCGCUGCUGGGUCGGCAGCAGCGGGCACCGCGGGGCCCGGGCUGCCCUCAGCCCCGCGGGGC